UGGGGAAUUUUGGACAAUGGGGGAAACCCUGAUCCAGCCAUUCCGCGUGGGUGAAGAAGGCCUUCGGGUUGUAAAGCCCUUUUGUCUGGGAGCAAAUCCUUGUCGCUAAUACCGGCUGGGGAUGAGAGUACCAGAAGAAUAAGCACCGGCUAACUACGUGCCAGCAGCCGCGGUAAUACGUAGGGUGCAAGCGUUACUCGGAAUUACUGGGCGUAAAGCGUGCGCAGGCGGUUUUGUAAGCUUGAUGUGAAAUCCCCGGGCUUAACCUGGGAACUGCAUUGAGGACUGCAAGGCUAGAGUACGGCAGAGGGGGGUGGAAUUCCACGUGUAGCAGUGAAAUGCGUAGAGAUGUGGAGGAACACCGAUGGCGAAGGCAGCCCCCUGGGCCUGUACUGACGCU
rnacentral:rRNA from 1 species